CCUACGGGAGGCAGCAGUGGGGAAUAUUGGACAAUGGGCGCAAGCCUGAUCCAGCCAUGCCGCGUGAGUGAAGAAGGCCUUAGGGUUGUAAAGCUCUUUCAGCGGGGACGAUAAUGACGGUACCCGCAGAAGAAGCCCCGGCUAACUCCGUGCCAGCAGCCGCGGUAAUACGGAGGGGGCUAGCGUUGUUCGGAAUUACUGGGCGUAAAGGGUGCGUAGGCGGCCCUACAAGUCAGACGUGAAAGGCCUGGGCUCAACCCGGGAACUGCGUUUGAGACUGUGGGGCUGGAGUCCGGGAGAGGUGAGCGGAAUUCCCAGUGUAGAGGUGAAAUUCGUAGAUAUUGGGAAGAACACCGGUGGCGAAGGCGGCUCACUGGACCGGUACUGACGCUGAGGCACGAAAGCGUGGGGAGCAAACAGGAUUAGAUACCCGGGUAGUC
rnacentral:rRNA from 1 species